AGGAUUGACCUACUUCAAAGACU
rnacentral:siRNA from 1 species